UUAUUAUUUUCUAUUUCAGAGAAUUGUUUUCGCUCCAAGUAACCUUAAAAGCGCGCGUCAGAGAGCAAGCAAAGUGUUUUCGUUCCCCCUUGGCCAUUUCUGCUCGGAGACAGUAAAAUCUUCAAGUAUUCAUCGAUCGAUCUCUGAAAGAAAAUGCGUUAUUGAAUCAUGACUCGGUCGUUUGCAAGGCUGGGUAUUUCUCUCUGGCUCUCUUUCAAGACCUAGUUCAUGGGGAUGGAUGCGCAUAGUUCCCGGAUUCAAUCAUUUGGUGUGGCCGAGAUUAAUUGGGACAGGAGAACACUUUGCUGAAUAUGGCCAACAUAUGCAAUCCACUGGUGGAAUCAAGUUCCUUAUGGAUUAAUAUCUGGUAAGUUCGUGACUGUCAUAAUUCUCUGAUGCUUUGAUACCCCAUUCCCAUUCAUAUUUCUUUAGACAAUUUUAUAUGACUUUUGGUAUAAGUUAAACUCGCGACCAGGAUAAUAUGUCAAGUUGUCUAUGGAAUGAAUCCUUUCAGCUGGAGAUUUUGUUUUGAGUCUCCGUGGAAAUAACAACUUGCCUGCUUGUUGGAAAAUUUAUGACUUGGAACUGCUUGUUGGGAGUGGAUGGAGGAGAUUAAGCAUUUUUGUUUUGUGUGGAUUAGAGGAAUUGUAAGGGCUAUUUGUUCGUCAGUUUUGUUAUGAAAUGUCACCUUCCCUGCUUUUAUCUCUUCCAGCAUUAGUUGAGGCAAAAGGACAAAGCAGAGGAAGAUCCUCAAUUCGAUUUUCAUUGAAAACAAUACUAUUGUGAUCACACGUUGAGUUUUGAUGUAAGUAGAAAAUUUAUGUGCA